rnacentral:rRNA from 1 species
CCUACGGGUGGCAGCAGUGGGGAAUAUUGGACAAUGGGGGCAACCCUGAUCCAGCCAUGCCGCGUGUGUGAAGAAGGCCCUCGGGUUGUAAAGCACUUUCAGUGAGGAAGAACGCCUGGUGGUUAAUACCCAUCAGGAAAGACAUCACUCACAGAAGAAGCACCGGCUAACUCCGUGCCAGCAGCCGCGGUAAUACGGAGGGUGCGAGCGUUAAUCGGAAUUACUGGGCGUAAAGCGCGCGUAGGUGGCUUGAUAAGCCGGUUGUGAAAGCCCCGGGCUCAACCUGGGAACGGCAUCCGGAACUGUCAAGCUAGAGUGCAGGAGAGGAAGGUAGAAUUCCUGGUGUAGCGGUGAAAUGCGUAGAGAUCGGGAGGAAUACCAGUGGCGAAGGCGGCCUUCUGGACUGACACUGACACUGAGGUGCGAAAGCGUGGGUAGCAAACAGGAUUAGAUACCCCAGUAGUC